GUUUGAUCAUGGCUCAGAUUGAACGCUGGCGGCAGGCUUAACACAUGCAAGUCGAGCGGGGGAAGGUAGCUUGCUACUGGACCUAGCGGCGGACGGGUGAGUAAUGCUUAGGAAUCUGCCUAUUAGUGGGGGACAACAUCUCGAAAGGGAUGCUAAUACCGCAUACGUCCUACGGGAGAAAGCAGGGGAUCUUCGGACCUUGCGCUAAUAGAUGAGCCUAAGUCGGAUUAGCUAGUUGGUGGGGUAAAGGCCUACCAAGGCGACGAUCUGUAGCGGGUCUGAGAGGAUGAUCCGCCACACUGGGACUGAGACACGGCCCAGACUCCUACGGGAGGCAGCAGUGGGGAAUAUUGGACAAUGGGGGGAACCCUGAUCCAGCCAUGCCGCGUGUGUGAAGAAGGCCUUAUGGUUGUAAAGCACUUUAAGCGAGGAGGAGGCUACUUUAGUUAAUACCUAGAGAUAGUGGACGUUACUCGCAGAAUAAGCACCGGCUAACUCUGUGCCAGCAGCCGCGGUAAUACAGAGGGUGCGAGCGUUAAUCGGAUUUACUGGGCGUAAAGCGUGCGUAGGCGGCUUAUUAAGUCGGAUGUGAAAUCCCCGAGCUUAACUUGGGAAUUGCAUUCGAUACUGGUGAGCUAGAGUAUGGGAGAGGAUGGUAGAAUUCCAGGUGUAGCGGUGAAAUGCGUAGAGAUCUGGAGGAAUACCGAUGGCGAAGGCAGCCAUCUGGCCUAAUACUGACGCUGAGGUACGAAAGCAUGGGGAGCAAACAGGAUUAGAUACCCUGGUAGUCCAUGCCGUAAACGAUGUCUACUAGCCGUUGGGGCCUUUGAGGCUUUAGUGGCGCAGCUAACGCGAUAAGUAGACCGCCUGGGGAGUACGGUCGCAAGACUAAAACUCAAAUGAAUUGACGGGGGCCCGCACAAGCGGUGGAGCAUGUGGUUUAAUUCGAUGCAACGCGAAGAACCUUACCUGGCCUUGACAUACUAGAAACUUUCCAGAGAUGGAUUGGUGCCUUCGGGAAUCUAGAUACAGGUGCUGCAUGGCUGUCGUCAGCUCGUGUCGUGAGAUGUUGGGUUAAGUCCCGCAACGAGCGCAACCCUUUUCCUUACUUGCCAGCAUUUCGGA
rnacentral:rRNA from 1 species